GUGCUGGCUUCGGCCACACAUAUACCAAAAUUGGAAUGGUAUCAAGAAGAUUAGCAUGGCCCUUGCACAAGGAUGACAUGCAAAUUCGUGACGCUUUCCAUGUUUUU
ensembl:snRNA U6 U6 spliceosomal RNA